ACAGGAAAAUGACCUAUGAAUCGACAGACAGUAUAGUCAAGUGUGUCUGUCAUUUCUAUAGGCCAAUAUUCUGU
rnacentral:pre_miRNA from 1 species